UCGCUCUCAUGCCUGACUCUCCAGCGUUCAUCCCCGGACUGCUUACCUGGUAUCGACCUGAUACGCCCCUGACCUUUGCUUCACGCCUCAGCCCCGGUAAACCUACCUGCCUUCUGUCCCUGACUACGAGCUCUGCCUGCCUGUUUCCUGCUAUUCGUCUGCCUGCGGCUGGGUGGCACUCAGCCUGUUCCUGCUCUGUUAAGAUCCCCCUUCUCGUCAGCUUCACCUCGCCAAUUCACCUCCUCUCCGACGUUGGUUCUGCCAGCUCCACUGCAAGCUCUGGAUCCUCACCUGAACCACUCUCCAAGAAAUCUUCCUCCAGCUGUGAGUUGAGCAUUUUCCCCUUCACCACACUUGUAGAGCAAAUUAAGACUGUGGACAAUUCCCUGCUCAGAGUCCAAAAUUCUUGCCUGCCCUGUGGCCCUCCGCUAAUCUGCUCGCCUAACACCCGGAAGACCCGUGUUCGAAUCCUGCUAUACUCCGCUGCUUCAUUUGAUCUGGUGUUAAAUAAAGACUGUUGUUAAAGUGAACCUGCUUGUUUGUGCUGCAAUUGGGUCUAGUCAAUACCCGUUACAGAAACGGCACUUUUCCAUUGUCUAUGGAGACCGUUUCCGCCUAAAAGUGGCCUGAGGUUGUGCCAGUUUUGGGGAAAAAUCUUGAAUGUAAACUCUACCCCUCUCAACCAGUUUUCCCCUCAGCUUCCCCCCCCCCCCCCCUGCUCCAGUAAGCCCCGCCCACAAGCAGACGCUCCUGCUUGCUUGUGUUGUUCCAAUUAAAUUCAGAUAUAAUGCAGAUAAAUACUUCAGAUAAUUACAAAUGGGGCCCAGUCAACAUGAAAGUAAAUAGCAUUGGUACUACUGUAGAUGCCAACAGACUACCAGCAAACACAAUGUUUGCAGGACUUCUACAACUAAGAUAAAGUGACAUACUCCAGGAUCCAAGGUUAACAGUUUAGUGGAGCUACAACACACAGCAGGUCCCAUUUGACAAGAAACACUUCUGUUACAGACACUUGGCUUUGUCAAAGCGGUUUACCUGUUCAGCAGAGAGAUAACAGGGUCCGUAAGAUCCCGAAGCGCCCCCUAUCAUUGUUGACCCGGCUUCUUAGUUCUUGUCCGGAUGGUUUACCUCCUUUUAAGCGCCUGUAAUUCCACUAGAGGUAUUUAGUUUGUUUUCUUGCGUUUGUUGGCAGUUGUGGCUAAAGGAGAAUUCAGGCAAUUUUUCAUACUUUCUGGUUGGUUUCUAAUGUCCGAUAUUGUAGCACACUAACUUUGUUUGGGCUCGUAAACGACACAGGGGAGCAGCAUCUGCCUCACAACCAAUCAACACUAAGAACCAGCAUCUGCCUCACAACCAAUCAGGUUGGGGGAGGCGGGGAAUGGCUUUGUUUACAGUCAGAAAGAGCAGAGCACUCUGAAACUUUAAAAUGUUGACUACACAGACAUAAGAGAACACAGCAAUAUCAUUAUAUUACCAAAUGUCAUCAAUGACUAAUAGCUGUUGACUGAUAUUAAAAGCUUUUAGUAUAUACACCACAAAAAAAGAUGCUUCUUUAACGGAUUCCUGCCUACCCCACCUUUAAGUGUUUUCAUGUUGAGCAACCAAAAAUUACUGCAUACAUGGCCGUUUUUUAAAGCUUUCUAGCUUUUUUACAUUCUAUCUGAGUCAACCCAUGACCAUUUUCCUUAUUAAAGCUAACCAAAGAAUAGUGGGUCAUACUGCAGCAGUAAAACUAUUACUUCUGUUUCCUCUUAACCAUUAUGACUAACACGCAAAAAUACUUAGUCUGAUAACGGCUCAUGAUAAAACUUUGUAUUUGUAAAAUCUCUAGUAGGAGUUGUGGUUGUCAUGUCCUGCAGUCAGUCUGUAUCAAUAUCCCAAUCAGUAAUGGCUCAGUGUUGACAUGGUGUCACUGCAAUAAUUAUUUAUUAUUGAUCAGACACACUUAUACAGAUGGUUCUGUGGGUUUCUGUGGUUUUCCUUGGUUUAAUAUUGCAGGUGAUGAGCUGUUUCUGUCCACACUGUCAGGGCAGGAUGUAUCACCAAUCAGCUGCUGCUGUCUGAGGUGCAAAAAGAUGCAGGAAGUCUCUGCUGGAAUUGUCUCAGCUCUGGAUGAAGUUAAUUUCUCCUUUGGUAGCUUCAGAGUUAAGUAAACAACCUAAUCUGCGUCACUGUCACACUCAUAUUUUUGGAUUCUGAUGUUUCAUUUGAGCAUUGGCAUGUCUACAGUGAGAAAUACACAAACCUGAGGCAUUGCUGUAUUGGCACCACAGAGAUGUCUUUAGUUGUUUAUUAUCGACUUACUGCUGUUAGUUGUCAUGACAGGUUUGAUAGCAUCAGAAACGCCUGGGGCCUUUGAGCAGUAUGUAUCACAUUGUAAACACAACAGCAUUAAUAAUCAUAAUAAUACAUUUUAUUUAUAAGCGCCUUUCUUAACACUCAAGGUCACUUUACAGAUAAAAACAGUAAAUAAAACAACAGGAUAUAAGCAAACACAGAAUAAAAUGGAACAAAGUAAUGAGAGUGAUCUAUUCUGAACAGGUGGGUUUGGGUCUGGAUUUGAAGCGAGGGAGACUCAAAUGUCAGCUGCCUGAGCGUCAGAAAGUUCUACUCACCAUGCCACUGAGGGGGGCAGAGGGCACAGUGAGGUGGAUGGAGGAGAAGGAUCAGAGGGAACGGGAGGAGGUGGCAGUAAAAUUUAAAGGAGUGCUUAUAGCAUAACAACUGUGUAUUACAGCAGUCACAUUACUGACUCCUAUCAUGACACACAGUAACAUGCAAAGACAAAAACAAGGAAAAUGUCAUAAGUGAAAAUCUGAAGAGAACAGAGCAGCCAUGUUGGACUAAUUUAGGUUAUGCUGUUUGUGUAGCCAAUUCUGCUAAAAAAUAACAACUUACUCUAAAGUCACACACUCCUCCUCUUUUUCACAUGAUGCUUUUCAGAAUCAGAAUCAUCUUUAUUGACCAUAUAUACACAUACAUAGACUCUGGUAAACUUUGCCCUCCAUGUACAAACGUAAAGACCUACCUAAACUUUAAGACCUACCAUAGAAAAAGUUCGCCAGAGCAUAUUUUUUACACUUUUACAUGCUGUAGAGCCAUUAAAACCUACAAGAGUGCUCUCAUUUGCGUAUCUAUUUUUAAAUGCCUGUAGAAUUGCAACCAAAUAAGAUAGAGCAAUAAUUAUUUUUGCAUUGGAUUGGACAUAUUCUACUCACAAUGUGUCCAAGAGCAUCGUUUUCCUCCAGAAACUUUCUUACUUCUUUUGCAGAAAUCCUUUUAAAAAAGCGCUAAAAAAACAAACAAAUAAACAUCACAAUCCAGACUCCUAUGUGUACGACGGAACACAUGGUUUUCUUGCACACCAAUGCCAGAAACAAAAGGAAGUGAUGUAAUUUUGUAACUUGUUCGCAUGAUAGGCAAUCUGCUUGGGGUCCAGUAGGGGGCCUGUGAUGUUCUCCAGGGGUCCGUUUCACGUAGCAGGUUUAAUGGAAACUCCGAGUUUGUUAACCCUGAAAUCAGGGAAACUCUGAGUUUUCCGUUUCACAAAGGAGGGUUAGUUAAACCAGGGAGAGAGGGGUAACUCUAACCUGUUUCACAAAGAGAGGUAACUCAACCUCGCGGUCAGUUACCACAGUAACAGACUCCGUGAACCUAACCUGCUCGGGAGCAGGUUUAACUCAAUAAACCCAGAGUUUCAGGUGAGACAUCGGCAUUUUCUCAUUUUGAUCAUGUUUUACAUUGUCAAGUAAGUAUUAAGUGGCAGUUUGAUCCCUUAAAAAAUGCUCUUUUCACACUCAAAACUGAAUUUUACUCUCUUAUGAUGUUCCGUUAAAUGAUUAGGAAUAUUAAACUAACACAAAAACGGGUGGUGGUCCAGCAGCCCCACCUUUAACGGAGGCAGAGGAGCUUCUUGCAACUUCUCGGCUGCAGAGUAAGUGACACAGCAAGCUAAACUCUACAGUUAGCAAGUCAGGCGCAGCCAUCCGUUUAUGUUUCCUCUCCUCUGGCCUUACUUUAAAAAUAGAGGAUUACGUAUGUAAAAUCAAACAGUUUUUUAAACUGGACUUUCGGUCAAAGCAGGAGGUAAUAAUUAAGGGUGGACAAUUUAUCACUAUCAUUUAUAAGUAAAGGUAAGACCAUAAUGUUAUUUGUUUGUUUGUUUGUUUGUUUUUUAAUUUUUUUAUUUAAUGUGGGGUUUUUUGUGUGUGAGUUUGUAUGCGUGAAGAAAGCUGAUAUGAUAUUUUAAACAUAACUGCUGCCAGUCAAACGGUUAAUAAGCUCCUCUGUAGGGUUCAUAUGUUUGAAAAUCUGAAGUUAGUGCCAUGAACCUCAUCACAUGUCACUGAUUUCAACGAAAAUACCAAACUGGCUGUGUGUCGGGCUGCGCUGCACUAAAAUACCACUGCGUGGGGUGCCCCACCCUGUGCUGCGCUGCUGGCAGGCAUGAAAAUAGAGCCCAAGGUAUUUUAAGUUCAAACUGAUAAACUGCUUUUUAUACUAGUGUGUUGGCUGAUUCAGUGUGUUGGAUAAGGCUCACUUCUAGAUGACAUAAAAGUCCACUGAAAGUGGGUCUCAGACACUUUUUUUUUUUUUACAAUAAAUAGUUAUUGUGUAUUUUUAUAGAGUUGAUUAUUGUGUAAACAUAACAGCUUUAAAUGUUAUUAUAUUAAUAUUUAAGUUUAAGUUUUAAUUAUCAUGAAAACUAUGAACAAAACUGGAGCUUUGUGUUUUUCCCAUAAGCUGUGGGGAUUUUUAUAGAUUUUUUUCUUUUUUUUUUUGGAUCAAUUUUCAGAAGUGUUUAUAAUUUUCAUCAAUCACAGGGCCCGUGGAGGCUCUGGCAGCACAACACAGUCAUUACAGAUAACUGUUCUGCCAGAAUAACUUGGGAAUUCACUUUAGUUUUUCUGGAGCCUUGGUCUAUUCCCUGUCCAGCUGUACUGAAACCAGUCCAGACUCCUGAUGAAGGAUGGAUUCUGCAGACUCAUAGGGGGACUCAGGGACAUUACAGCACAUCAUCUUCACAGGCAGAGGGACAGUGUAAAUGCUUUGUCUUAGCAGAUCCUGAAGUUGUGGGUAUAAAAAGCUUUUGCUGAGCUCAUGAUGAAGUUGUGAAGAUGAUAUCAUCGCUCAGUUAUCAAUCUUAAAUGAACAGACUCAUUUUAACAGCUUCAUUUAUGUUUUCACAAGAGCAGCAUUUUGCUUUUAUUGAAGAAGUAACUCAUCAUUGAGUUGUCACUGUCAGAGGAUAUGAGCUGAUAUGACAGGAAUAUUAAAAAGUCACACUGUACUCCUGGAGGAGAGUAAAUGAGGAGCAGCACUUUAUUUCUUAUUUCACAUUGAGCUUUGGAGGGUAAUUCGAACAGUUUAUUGUGUCAGGCACAUGGAAAGUGUCCAUCACUGGCAAAACCAGCUCCCAGCCAGACAUUUAUAUACAGUGUGUUUACAUUGUUUACGGCAGUGCUGGAGGAGGUUAUUGGAGGAGUAAAUCAUGUGUUGGUCUGCUGUUUUAUUAGAUGAUUAGCUUUUUAUUGUUAGGGUAUCAAUUCUCUAUAGGGCCACAAAGCAGGAUGAGUUAGGACAUAGGCCACGCUUGUUGUUGUUGUUGUUGUUGUUGUGUGUGUGUGUGUGUGUGUGUGUGUGUGUGUGUGUGUGUGUGUGUGUGUGUGUGUGUGUGUGUGUGUGUGUGUGUGUGUGUGUGUGUGUGUGUCACAAAGCUUCACCAGUAUCAGUGAUGGACAGUACAGCAGAGUCACAGGCAACAAGCAUUAAAACAGAAUAGAAGUAAAAGUAAUAGAUCCAUGUACUUUUCUGGUGGUUUUUACCUUUUCAAUCACUCAUCUCUCUUGUUCUUUUCUGUCUGAUAUCAAUACAUUAAUAUUUUGGUGAUAAAUUUCUCAAAGGUGUUAAAUUCAGUUUGUUUUGUUUGAUAGUUUGUAAUUUUAGUUGUAAAUGAAAGUAGGCUGGACAAAAAUAAUGUUCACCAUUUGGGUCUUUUUCUGUAUAUUGUGUUUAUUUUCUAGCAUGAUUCAGCCAUGCUCCAACCAGCAGCUUGAAGCGAUUUAUCAUUAUCUCAACGUGAGAUUCUAUGAUUUAAAACCCACUAGAAAGACGAUGCUGAUCAGCUCGACCCCUUCAAUGAAAAUCUGCCCAGAGAGCAGCAUACUGACAUUUUUCUGCAGACAAGGUCAACUCUGCUGCGUACUUUACUCAUUUUGAGUAAGUCCAACUCAAACACUUGUCUCGCUGUGUGUAUGUGUAAGUGUAUGCUCUACCGAAAGCUGUUUUAGCUCUUUAUUUUGUUACCAAGUUUGACUCCUGACAAACAGAAGUUUCAUCACUAGCUUACACUUUAACCACCUAAUGAAACCUGCAGCUGUAGCUAGUACACUUACUAGUGACAUGUAACUCACUGCGACUUCUACUUCAACUUUGGUGUAGUGGGACUUUUACUGACAUGGCUGGGCUUCUUACCAUUUGCCAGCAGUGUUGAUUUUGUCAAUUUUUUAUUUUUAUUUUUUUUUGUCAAGAAUUAAGGUCUUGGUCAUUUUCAGAAAACUGUGGUUGAUGUCAGCUAUAUUCUAGUCUUUGUGUUGUUUCUGUCAAAAUUUAGCCAGAGGAACUUUCAAUAUUGGAUCACUGACAGCUAGCAAGUUCUGACUUCCUAACAUAGACUGUAAACAGACUUCACCAGGUGAAAAAAAACAUGCAAAGACAAAAAUAUGGAGGAGGAGGUGAGAGUGUGUAUCAGCACACUUGUUGCAGAUACAUGAAUGUAACAUUUUUCAUUUUAGUUUUCUUGCCAUUCACUUUAUUGUCUCUAGUCAGGAACAUAACCAUGUGCUGGUCACAGCUUUUUUGAUAAAGAUUUGUGUCCAAUUUCAACUAUUCUUGAAGAUUGAUCCACAUCUGUGGUGUGUUGUGAAAAAUCCAGCAUAAACUUAGUAAAACAAUGCACAGGAGACAGGAUGAGAUCUGAAGAACAGCCUGGGUGUCUUUUAUUGUACGGAUGUAAAAAUCAGUAUAGAUGACAAACAGAGUCUUGACAUAACCCAAGGAAAUCCUCCCUAGCUUUUUCUUCUACUCCCUUUUAUACUGUUAGGUGUGUGUGUGUGUGUGUGUGUGUGUGUGUGUGUGUGUGUGUGUGUGUGUGUGUGUGUGUGUGUGUGUGUGUGUGUGUGCGAGUAUUCCAUCAUCAUGGGUAUGUCACAUCAGUUCUCCAGACAGCUACCCAUGAUGACAUGUCGUACUGUUCUGACCCUCAACACUUUGUUUAGACUCGUCUUAACUCUCACAGGGAUUAAAUGUUCCAACAGACAGAUAGUUUUGGCUCCUGAAAGACAGCCUUGCUUUCAACCUCAUGGUCAUGAGGCUGCAUAAGCAGGCCAACCUAGAUUAUUUGUAACUCCUUACUUAAAGAUAAUUACUCUAUAUUUCUUAACCUAAAUGUAUGAAAAGGUUCUACUACAGGUGCACAAUAGGGACAUGCAGUUUACCCCAGAUCUAGAAAAACUCAAGGUUCUGUGAGGGGCAGCAGAUAGAGACUCAUGUGUUUUCACUGAAGUGCAAUAUCCUACUUGCGUGUUUCUACAGCAAAGAAGGAUUGGAGUAAAGACAGACAGCAGCAACGUUGGCCUGACUCCAAAAGGGCGCAAAGAGGAUGCUGACCAAACCAGAGCUGGACAAUGACACAGCUCUGAAAUGAUUUCCUCACUGGAUUUGUCUCCACAUUAAUGGGGAUUUUCCACCUUUAUUUUUCACUCCUGUCAUGGCCACUGUCCUCUUCUGUCUGAGUCUGCCUCUGUAGUGUGAUGUGGAUGGUGAGCCUGGUUUCAUUGCUCUCCUGUAGAGUCCUCCAGUAAAGUUUAAUGAAUGUGUAUUUUGAUUGUAAGAAUUAUCUUCAAUCUCUUUCAUUAAUUGCAGAAAUCAGGGACAUAAUAUGAAUGAUUUGCUGAUACAGGCCAAACAACACACAUGCUGGUAAUUGAAUCAUUACAUAUGUACAAGCACUAGUUCAAAACAAAUGUCAUUCGAUGUAUGCAAGCAACAGGUUCAAGGAUUGGUUUCUGAAAAACUGAUACCAAACCCUUUUUCUUUCAGACAAAAAAAUACAUUCAGAUAUUCAAAUUCAUUUUUUUGGAGCGCUUUGUUUUGAAGUACUGAAAUACAUCCUAGGUAAUUCAACUUUGGUCAAAGAUAGCUCUAUCCUUAUAAUAUAACAGUACUUGCUAUUUACACAAAGGAUGUGUGACAGCAAGUAAAGUAUUGGUAUUAAGCUAAAAAUAAGCACUAAGUGUUAGCGUCAGUUCAUGGUGGUCCCCCUCUCCACUUGUUGUCUCAAUUUGUAAAAUGGAAAAAAAUAUAUAUAUAACAAUGGAGAUGCAGCGGCAACUUGCAAGCUAACUGUAGCAUCCCUAGGAUGGAUAGUUGGUGGUGAAUGGAUAAGUGGUGGUGAUUUUAUAGGAAAUGAAGCAUGACGAACAGCUGUUUUAUGAGGCAAUAUCUCCUCCAAAGAAGUUUCAGUUUCAGGGCUGGUGAUGUGGAUAAAUCAUAAAUUUUAACAUCCUUAGAAAUCAAUGAUUACGUGUGAAGAAACUGUGCUUAUUUAAAAAAAAUAAAUAAAUUAAAUCUGUUACUCUGAUAGGAAUGUUUGACAUUUUUCAGUAUAGUUUUUAAUAGGUAAACCAAGAAAUAUUACCUUUAUAACAAAAUAUUAUGAUGAUAUUGCUUGUACUUGGUUUGUUAGAGUUUGGCAGAUGUGUGCUCUGCAAUAUCAGUAGAAAUCCCAGCAACAGGGUCCAGAUACUGGUGCUGGUAGCUGAAGAUUUUGGUCAGACCAGAUGGUUGUUGAGGAAAGAGAAGUGGUGACUGUUUAGUGAUGGACAAAUAAAAGACACUUUUAAAAAAGAUUAGAAAGAUUAUUGGCUAAUAAUGUGGGCAGAGAUACCAGACUGUUGGGCAGAGAGGAUCAGACGAUUACAAAUCUGGUUUCCCAAGAAAAGUGAGUGAUCAUGUAGGAAGGGCAUGAGUGAGAAAUCAAAACCACGAAAGCAAAGCGCAGUCCUCCUGACUGCACUUAAUUUAAACAUCAGUGACGAGCCAAAAAGACGAGAAAAAAAAAAUUCUUAUCAUUAGUAUUCCUCAUUAGCUGCUGUUUAUAAUACCUUGCUGCAGUUUGGAUGUUAAAUACUAAGUGGUUUUAGUUUUAAACACCCAUGACAUUAAUUCCUUUCAGUCCCUGAAAAACUAAUGAGAAUAAUAUUUUAACUGUCCUGUUCAGAUUACUUGGUAUUUAGUAUUAAGUGCCACGUCUCUUUGAUACCAAACAUUCAUGAAUUUAAAUAAAUGUGAACAUAAUAAUUUGAAUAACAAUAAUUAUCAUUACUAAAGUAGCAGAAUAAUAAUCAUCCCCAUUCAUAUUCAAAUAUGAGACCUGGGUAAUGGACUGAGGGGCUCUGGCCCAGAAGUGUUAAGGAACACUGUUUCAAAGUAAUCCUGAGAAAAAUUUGGAAACUCUGUUAUCACAAAAAGACUAAAUGAAAGCCCUGUGUUUCUGCAGAGAGCCAAACGAUGGACCACAUCCAUGAACGGUGUCCAAGCCAACAGCUCUGCUGAGGAUUCUGAGGCUAAACACAACUGUGCAGGCAUCGAUUUGGCUGCAGGACACAAAUAUAUUCACAUGAUAGAUUCUCCUGCUGUCAGCUCCUCUGUUCCUUUUUGUCUAGUUUGACAUCUUCUAAACUCAAUCUUCUUGUCUCCAUGUCUUCUCACAAACACCAUCUGUAUAAACCUGUAUUAAAUUACUGUUGACUUGAAGAACACACUUAGGAACAAGUUAAGCAUACAGCAGAGGAGAGCCUGCACAGGCUGAGUGCUUUACAGUUUUAACAGCAACAUUUUGGAGUGCACUUUUACACAGUAGAGACACAACACCAACACACUGACAAUACAAGCCCUCACCUGAAUUUUAGAUAUGUGCAAAGCUUUUUAGCUACACCCACAGUAAACACACCUGCACAUGCAGUCUCCCACUCACAAUGUCACUCUGUCGACCUCAGAUAGUGUGUGAUGGCCGCAGGCACCAAGUGUAGCGGCAAAUUAUGUUCAUGUGUUUGCAAAAGUAUGUGUAUAAAUGUCAUAAAGUCACAUUGUUUUUUUUGUUUUUUUAUUUUACAAAACAGAAACACCA
rnacentral:lncRNA from 1 species